rnacentral:rRNA from 1 species
AGCGCAGGCGGGAUAGCAAGUCAGCUGUGAAAACUAUGGGCUCAACCCAUAAACUGCAGUUGAAACUGUUAUUCUUGAGUGGAGUAGAGGCAAGCGGAAUUCCGAGUGUAGCGGUGAAAUGCGUAGAUAUUCGGAGGAACACCAGUGGCGAAGGCGGCUUGCUGGGCUCUAACUGACGCUGAGGCUCGAAAGUGUGGGGAGCAAACA